rnacentral:rRNA from 1 species
UUAAGCGACUAAGCGUACACGGUGGAUGCCCUGGCAGUCAGAGGCGAUGAAGGACGUGCUAAUCUGCGAAAAGCGUCGGUAAGGUGAUAUGAACCGUUACAACCGGCGAUGUCCGAAUGGGGAAACCCAGUGCAAUUCGUUGCACUAUCGUUAACUGAAUACAUAGGUUAACGAGGCGAACCGGGGGAACUGAAACAUCUAAGUACCCCGAGGAAAAGAAAUCAACCGAGAUUCCCCCAGUAGCGGCGAGCGAACGGGGAGCAGCCCAGAGUCUGAAUCAGCUUGUGUGUUAGUGGAACGGUCUGGAAAGUCCGACGGUACAGGGUGAUAGUCCCGUACACCAAAAUGCACAGGUUGUGAACUCGAAGAGUAGGGCGGGACACGUGGUAUCCUGUCUGAAUAUGGGGGGACCAUCCUCCAAGGCUAAAUACUCCUGACUGACCGAUAGUGAACCAGUACCGUGAGGGAAAGGCGAAAAGAACCCCGGCGAGGGGAGUGAAAAAGAACCUGAAACCGUGUACGUACAAGCAGUGGGAGCACCUUCGGGUGUGACUGCGUACCUUUUGUAUAAUGGGUCAGCGACUUAUAUUCUGUAGCAAGGUUAACCGUAUAGGGGAGCCGCAGGGAAACCGAGUCUUAACUGGGCGUUAAGUUGCAGGGUAUAGACCCGAAACCCGGUGAUCUAGCCAUGGGCAGGUUGAAGGUUGGGUAACACUAACUGGAGGACCGAACCGACUAAUGUUGAAAAAUUAGCGGAUGACUUGUGGCUGGGGGUGAAAGGCCAAUCAAACCGGGAGAUAGCUGGUUCUCCCCGAAAGCUAUUUAGGUAGCGCCUCGUGAACUCAUCUUCGGGGGUAGAGCACUGUUUCGGCUAGGGGGUCAUCCCGACUUACCAACCCGAUGCAAACUACGAAUACCGAAGAAUGUUAUCACGGGAGACACACGGCGGGUGCUAACGUCCGUCGUGAAGAGGGAAACAACCCAGACCGCCAGCUAAGGUCCCAAAGUCAUGGUUAAGUGGGAAACGAUGUGGGAAGGCACAGACAGCCAGGAUGUUGGCUUAGAAGCAGCCAUCAUUUAAAGAAAGCGUAAUAGCUCACUGGUCGAGUCGGCCUGCGCGGAAGAUGUAACGGGGCUAAACCAUGCACCGAAGCUGCGGCAGCGACACUAUGUGUUGUUGGGUAGGGGAGCGUUCUGUAAGCCUGCGAAGGUGUGCUGUGAGGCAUGCUGGAGGUAUCAGAAGUGCGAAUGCUGACAUAAGUAACGAUAAAGCGGGUGAAAAGCCCGCUCGCCGGAAGACCAAGGGUUCCUGUCCAACGUUAAUCGGGGCAGGGUGAGUCGACCCCUAAGGCGAGGCCGAAAGGCGUAGUCGAUGGGAAACAGGUUAAUAUUCCUGUACUUGGUGUUACUGCGAAGGGGGGACGGAGAAGGCUAUGUUAGCCGGGCGACGGUUGUCCCGGUUUAAGCAUGUAGGCUGAUUGUCCAGGCAAAUCCGGAUAAUCAAGGCUGAGGUGUGAUGACGAGGCACUACGGUGCUGAAGUAACAAAUGCCCUGCUUCCAGGAAAAGCCUCUAAGCAUCAGGUAACAUCAAAUCGUACCCCAAACCGACACAGGUGGUCAGGUAGAGAAUACCAAGGCGCUUGAGAGAACUCGGGUGAAGGAACUAGGCAAAAUGGUGCCGUAACUUCGGGAGAAGGCACGCUGGUGUGUAGGUGAAGUCCCUGCGGAUGGAGCUGAGACCAGUCGAAGAUACCAGCUGGCUGCAACUGUUUAUUAAAAACACAGCACUGUGCAAACACGAAAGUGGACGUAUACGGUGUGACGCCUGCCCGGUGCCGGAAGGUUAAUUGAUGGGGUUAUCCGUAAGGAGAAGCUCUUGAUCGAAGCCCCGGUAAACGGCGGCCGUAACUAUAACGGUCCUAAGGUAGCGAAAUUCCUUGUCGGGUAAGUUCCGACCUGCACGAAUGGCGUAAUGAUGGCCAGGCUGUCUCCACCCGAGACUCAGUGAAAUUGAACUCGCUGUGAAGAUGCAGUGUACCCGCGGCAAGACGGAAAGACCCCGUGAACCUUUACUAUAGCUUGACACUGAACAUUGAGCCUUGAUGUGUAGGAUAGGUGGGAGGCUUUGAAGCGUGGACGCCAGUCUGCGUGGAGCCAACCUUGAAAUACCACCCUUUAAUGUUUGAUGUUCUAACGUUGGCCCCUGACCGGGGUUGCGGACAGUGUCUGGUGGGUAGUUUGACUGGGGCGGUCUCCUCCCAAAGCGUAACGGAGGAGCACGAAGGUUAGCUAAUCCUGGUCGGACAUCAGGAGGUUAGUGCAAUGGCAUAAGCUAGCUUGACUGCGAGCGUGACGGCGCGAGCAGGUGCGAAAGCAGGUCAUAGUGAUCCGGUGGUUCUGAAUGGAAGGGCCAUCGCUCAACGGAUAAAAGGUACUCCGGGGAUAACAGGCUGAUACCGCCCAAGAGUUCAUAUCGACGGCGGUGUUUGGCACCUCGAUGUCGGCUCAUCACAUCCUGGGGCUGAAGUAGGUCCCAAGGGUAUGGCUGUUCGCCAUUUAAAGUGGUACGCGAGCUGGGUUUAGAACGUCGUGAGACAGUUCGGUCCCUAUCUGCCGUGGGCGCUGGAGAAUUGAGGGGGGCUGCUCCUAGUACGAGAGGACCGGAGUGGACGCAUCACUGGUGUUCGGGUUGUCAUGCCAAUGGCACUGCCCGGUAGCUAAAUGCGGAAGAGAUAAGUGCUGAAAGCAUCUAAGCACGAAACUUGCCCCGAGAUGAGUUCUCCCUGAGACUAUAAGUCUCCUGAAGGAACGUUGAAGACGACGACGUUGAUAGGCCGGGUGUGUAAGCGCAGCGAUGCGUUGAGCUAACCGGUACUAAUGAACCGUGAGGCUUAACCUU